GUAGGUGGCAAGCGUUGUCCGGAAUUAUUGGGCGUAAGGCGCGCGCAGGCGGUCCUUUAAGUCUGAUGUGAAAGCCCACGGCUCAACCGUGGAGGGUCAUUGGAAACUGGGGGACUUGAGUACAGAAGAGGAAAGCGGAAUUCCAAGUGUAGCGGUGAAAUGCGUAGAGAUUUGGAGGAACACCAGUGGCGAAGGCGGCUUUCUGGUCUGUAACUGACGCUGAGGCGCGAAAGCGUGGGGAGCAAACAGGAUUAGAUACCCUGGUAGUCCACGCCGUAAACGAUGAGUGCUAAGUGUUAGGGGGUUUCCCGCCCCCUUAGUGCUGCAGCUAACGCAUUAAGCACUCCGCCUGGGGAGUACGGCCGCAAGGCUG
rnacentral:rRNA from 1 species